AACGAACGCUGGCGGCAGGCUUAACACAUGCAAGUCGAACGGGCGUAGCAAUACGUCAGUGGCAGACGGGUGAGUAACACGUGGGAACCUUCCUAGGGGUACGGAACAACUCAGGGAAACUUGAGCUAAUACCGUAUACGUCCGUGAGGAGAAAGAUUUAUCGCCCUUAGACGGGCCCGCGUCGGAUUAGGUAGUUGGUGGGGUAACGGCCUACCAAGCCUACGAUCCGUAGCUGAUCUGAGAGGANGAUCAGCCACACUGGGACUGAGACACGGCCCAGACUCCUACGGGAGGCAGCAGUGGGGAAUCUUGGACAAUGGGCGCAAGCCUGAUCCAGCCAUGCCGCGUGAGUGAAGAAGGCC
rnacentral:rRNA from 1 species